rnacentral:rRNA from 1 species
CCUACGGGUGGCAGCAGUGAGGAAUAUUGGUCAAUGGACGAGAGUCUGAACCAGCCAAGUAGCGUGAAGGAUGACUGCCCUAUGGGUUGUAAACUUCUUUUAUAUGGGAAUAAAAUGUUCCACGUGUGGGAUUUUGUAUGUACCAUAUGAAUAAGGAUCGGCUAACUCCGUGCCAGCAGCCGCGGUAAUACGGAGGAUCCGAGCGUUAUCCGGAUUUAUUGGGUUUAAAGGGAGCGUAGGUGGAUUGUCAAGUCAGUUGUGAAAGUUUGCGGCUCAACCGUAAAAUUGCAGUUGAAACUGGCAGGCUUGAGUACAGGAGAGGUGGGUGGAAUUCGUGGUGUAGCGGUGAAAUGCUUAGAUAUCACGAAGAACUCCGAUUGCGAAGGCAGCUCACUGGACUGCAACUGACACUGAGGCUCGAAAGUGUGGGUAUCAAACAGGAUUAGAUACCCUGGUAGUC